rnacentral:rRNA from 1 species
GACGAACGCUGGCGGCGUGCUUAAUACAUGCAAGUCGAGCGGAAAGAUGCUGAGCUUGCCCCGCUGACGUAAGGGGCGGACGGGAGGGUAGCACGUGGCUAACCUCCCUGUAAUACUGGGGUAACUCCGGGACAACUGCGCUAAUACCGGAUGAUCUAUUGAACGGGAUGGUGCAAUCGUUAACGGCGGUGUUUGGGUCCGUUAUCGAUGAGCCCGCGCCGGAUUAGCUAGUUGAUAAGGUCAAGGAUUACCAAGGCAACGAUGCGUAGAAGACCUGAAAGACGGAUAGGCCACCCGGGAGCUGGGCCACGCACCAUACGCCUACGGGAGGCACCAGUAGCGAAUCGUCCGCAAUGGGCGAAAGCCUUACGCAGCAACGGCGCGCCAGUUAUGAAGGUCUCCGGAUCGUAAAGCUCGCCUAUGAGGUAAGAACAAAUGUGUAAGGAACCAAGCAGGUCGUGACGGUACCUAAACAGAAAGCCCCGGCUAACUACGUG